AUGAGUAUGUGAGGGUGCUUAGCUGUUGGGAUUCAGCAGUGUUUGUCAGCGCAGAGUAUAGGCCGACGAGAGCGAGUGUCGGGUAUGCGGGGCGGGAUACAGACCUAGGGCAUUUGAUUGUGGAGGCCUGAGAGAAGGCCGGGAUCAAGCUUGAGUAAGUAACCGGGGUUAUGCGAUCAGAGUAUUGGUAUGUUUGAGGUACGUGAUGGGUUGUACUGCAUUAAUCCCACGGGAUUAUGUUGUGCAUGUUUCUAGAGCUGGAACCGGAAGGUUCCCAGAGUUAGAACCUGAGGGUUCGCAGAGUUUNUACAGACCUAGGGCAUUUGAUUGUGGAGGCCUGGGAGCAGGCCGGGAUCAAGUUUGAGUAAGUAACCGGGGUUAUGUGAUCAGAGUAUUUGUAUGCUUGAUGUACGUGAUGGGUUGUACUGCAUUAAUCCCACGGGAUUUAUGUUGUGCAUGUUUCUAGAGUUGGAACCGGAAGGUUCCCAGAGUUAGAACCUGAGGGUUCACAGAGUUUGGGUGUACGGACCCACAGAGAUAUAGCCUCGAGUGGCUAGUGUGUGUUAUGAGAGUCGGUCCAGUCAUGCUGGGGACUCUGAUGGUAUUGUUGGAUCAGGUUGAGAUUUCGGAUUUUGUAUGUUGCAGUGUGAUUACAUUGGAAGGUCUGGCCCCGGGUUAGUGAUUUUGUUUAGUUGAGGUAGUGAUUCUGUGGAGUGGAGAGAGUGCAUGGGCUUGAGAGCCCCUGCAAUGAGAGCCAGAGUAUGUGGAUAGCGGUUACGCAAAAAGGGUGGUGUCGCUUAGGGCGAGCACCGUGGCACUGGUUGGAGUAGCAUUAUGGCCAAGAGGGUUCCUUGGAAAAGGAAAAGAGAAAGGUGUGUAACUCCGAAGGGGAGUGCAAGUUCACGAAAGUGAAAGCUGCAGAGCAGAGUCGUGGUUAGAGUAUUCGAGUAUGGUUUUGAGCAUCGUGUGCACGACAGUGAAGUAGGAACCCAUCCGGUUUGGGAUGUUUGUUGAGGCUCAGAAGGGAUGCAGGGGGAGAGAGAAUCUGGAAUUCUCAGUGUGAGUCUGAUCAGAGUAUAGGGUGGAUAUUAGUGGUUCAUCCUGGGAGAUGUUCGAGGAUAUCAUCAGUGUAUCGGGUCUUCCAACCUACGGGUGUUGGGGCUAGUUCAGCAUGGGUAUGUGAUUGCAAGAGGAGAACUCGUGAGAGUUGCUCUGAGAGUGAGAAUGGGUCUCUCAGUCGGUCCGGUAUGGACAAAGUGGGCUUUGGAUCGGGGAUCCGGUGGUUUCUGGUUUCCUAACCCUUGUGGGUCGAGUGAUUGUUGAGAUUUAGAGCAGAGUUGCAUCUUGGGUAAUUCUCGGUUACAGAAAGUGAUGGGUAGUACAGAGAUCGUGCUUCAGUCGACAAAGCAGAUUCAGCAGAUGAGACAGAGGUUAUUGACCGCCCAGAGCCGACAAGAAAAGUUAUGCAGACAGACGCCAGUCCGAGCUUGGGUUUCAAGUCGGCGACUUCAUACUCCUGAAGGCCUCUUCUUGGAGAGGAGUGAUUCGAUUCA
rnacentral:lncRNA from 1 species